GCUGAAAUAGCUCAGUUGGUAGAGCACUUCACUCGUAAUGAAGGGGUCGUGGGUUCAAGUCCCAUUUUCAGCU
rfam:Firmicutes bacterium CAG:424 genomic scaffold, scf48